AUUGAACGCUGGCGGCAGGCCUAACACAUGCAAGUCGAGCGCUUCUAGCUUGCUAGAGGAGCGGCGAACGGGUGAGUAACGCGUAGGAAUCUGCCUGGUAGUGGGGGACAACGUCUCGAAAGGGACGCUAAUACCGCAUACGCCCUACGGGGGAAAGGGGGGAUCUUCGGACCUCUCGCUAUCAGAUGAGCCUGCGUCGG
rnacentral:rRNA from 1 species